rnacentral:misc_RNA from 1 species
GAGGUUGCCAAAUCCUGUAAAUGUCUUGUCUUGGAUUGAUUUCUUGGAGCUGUCUUUGGCCAUCGGAGUAUAUAAUUUUAGUAACACUAAAGGACUAAUUGAAGAGAGAGAGAGAGAGCUAUGCAAUAGGGGCUCAUAACUGUGGAAAAAAUAGUUGAAAACAGACAUUAAUGGCAAUUUUUUUUUUUACAGCAAUAAGAUAAAAAGAAAUUAAGAUAUUAUAAUGGUCUAUUAGCAGAAUUUUUUUAUGGAACUACUAUCAAAACAAAGGUAAGAAGCUAUCUUUCUUCAUUACAGAAUAUAUCAACUUACUGCUCCUUUGACCACAAUAGCCAUUUAAUUAUCCAGAUCAAUUCCUAGGAUCUAUACUGCUGUACCAGUAUAAAUUUCAUUUUUUAGUGGAAUGCCACUAUAAAAUUUUAAAUUUGAAUAAUAUUCUGAAGGAACAAAGAUUUAGCUUUCUUUCAGAAAUUUAGCCACUUGUAUUUACCAACUUAAAGCUGUAGGUAAGCAUACCUACUGAAAUGACAGGUUUGUAACUUUGUAAACUAAGCAAUAAGGGAUAUUGCUAUCAUCCAACAUAUUUACGUGGCUGUUACAAAGAAGAAAAUUCAAAUCACAUUUUCUGAGAACAAUUGACAAAAGUAUGUUAUUCUCGCUUUGUCUCCAGGGGAUUUGCCCAGUGUUUGUAGUGUUUGUACUUUGGAUCAUCCAAAUUGUCAGCAAUUCCAUAAGAGAAAUGAGCACUACCACGCUCCAUCAUUUUUGGGGCAACAAAAUGAAGCAGAUCUAGAAUAGAUCCAGCAGUAUAAAGCUUAUAUUCUGCAACAGCUUUAAUACCUCCAUAUCCCAUUUCAUGGUACUCUGUCCACACAUCACGACAAGUAUUGUUUGCAAUGCUACGUCCUUUAACAGCAUCCCUAAAGUCAUUCCUCUCAAUAGAAGAUGAAUGUGCCUCUGCUACAUCUUUCCCAAAUGAGAUCAUUCUUCCAUAUUUAAUGCUCUUUCUUUGAGAAACCCCAUUUUCAAUCCCAUCUUGGCUGCCAUUCUUGGUGUCGUUGUUUCUUUGCCUUGUCUUGCCAGGAACGUAACCUUCCUCAGGUGACCAGUCAAGAUCACCCCAAAUAGUGGCCCCACCUCUUGGUAUCAUUGACAUAGUUGAAUCCCAUGUGCGAGACAUCCUCAUUACAUGUUGCAAGGUCUGAAGGGAAAAUAUAUCAUUAUCCAAAAAACCUGGUGCAAUGGCCCUGGCAACUGCAAUAUCCCUUGCUUCAGCAGAGAAAAGCCCUGCAACAGCUUUUGGAACACCUAAAAAUGGACCGCCAAUAUUCAUCACCGCCUUGAUAUGCUUAGCACACCAAUCUGGUCCUCCCCCUCCACCCAUUGGAGCUGGUUCCUCAACCCACUUCAUGAAAUGCAGAAAGUACAAAACACCCAUGGAAUGUGGAAUAAUAACAGCCUUAUUCCCACCAUUGGUAGCAACCAUCAAUUCUAUAUUAGUCUUCAUGCGGCUUAAUGUUUGAUCUCGGACCUCAGUGUUCUGAAAUGAAAGUCUCCAAUCAUAUGAGGCCAUAUACAUCGUUUUCUCCCCAUAUCCAAUGCGUGCCAAGUUAGCAAUGAGAACUGCCCAGACAAAAUAUCCUGGAGCAAAGUAAUCAGCAGCCACAAGUCCAGAGACAGGCCUAACCCUUAUGCCUGGAGGAUCCAAUCCAGUUUCAUUGUCUAGUGAUAGAUGCUCUACCCAACAGAGAGGCCUCUUAUAUGCUUCUCCGAAUGUUCCACCCCAAAGCCGCUUCCGAAACAAGCCAUCAGCACACUGAUGCCCUUCCCACAACUCAAGCCCCGCCGUGACAAUCCCGGGGACAAAAACCACUGGAUGCUUAGCCUUCAAUCCUUCUUUCCUCAACUUCACACCCGGUGGGUCUGGCAAGGGACCUGUGAUGGCCUCGGUGACAUACUGGGGCAAAGAUGCAGGCAUUGCAUUGUACAGAAACAGUAGAACCCACCACACUAUGCAUAUGGAGCCCACGAACCAGUAGCAGUCGUCUAUGCAAGACCAUUUCGGUUUGCUUCCGGGCUUCUCCUCUGCACUUCCGCUGGUGGGUUUCUUUUGGUUCUUCUUUUGGUGUUUCCUUUUGUUAUUAUCCUCUUCUUCUUCCUCCUCGCUUUGUGUUUUUAAAUCCGAUGCUGAGCUUUUGCUGGGUUCAGUAGGUUUUUUGCGCAGAAUUAGAGGCAUUUUUCUGGGUUCAAUUAUCUUUGGUUAUUAAGCGAGAAAAGCUUGAUUACUGAUAAGAUGCAAAGAGCUAAAAAUUAUAUGCAUUAAAAAAUCAAACUCCAAUGAGCUUCCAAUGGCUUUUGGAAAAGAUACAAACAGAAAAGGCAAAUUUAGUAACUUUUCUGUGAAAAAAAAAAAGAAUCUUUUAAAUAAAAUUUCGAGCUUCAGCAACUGUAUAUUAACCUAAUCUCCAGAGGAUAUAUUCCAUUAAUAAUUGAUUAAAAGAGCUUCUAAAAGGGUUUUAAC